GGGGCCUGGCGGCGUGCUAUACAUGCAGUCGAACGCUUCUUUUUCCACCGGAGCUUGCUCCACCGGAAAAAGAGGAGUGGCGAACGGGUGAGUAACACGUGGGUAACCUGCCCAUCAGAAGGGGAUAACACUUGGAAACAGGUGCUAAUACCGUAUAACAAUCGAAACCGCAUGGUUUUGAUUUGAAAGGCGCUUUCGGGUGUCGCUGAUGGAUGGACCCGCGGUGCAUUAGCUAGUUGGUGAGGUAACGGCUCACCAAGGCCACGAUGCAUAGCCGACCUGAGAGGGUGAUCGGCCACAUUGGGACUGAGACACGGCCCAAACUCCUACGGGAGGCAGCAGUAGGGAAUCUUCGGCAAUGGACGAAAGUCUGACCGAGCAACGCCGCGUGAGUGAAGAAGGUUUUCGGAUCGUAAAACUCUGUUGUUAGAGAAGAACAAGGAUGAGAGUAACUGUUCAUCCCUUGACGGUAUCUAACCAGAAAGCCACGGCUAACUACGUGCCAGCAGCCGCGGUAAUACGUAGGUGGCAAGCGUUGUCCGGAUUUAUUGGGCGUAAAGCGAGCGCAGGCGGUUUCUUAAGUCUGAUGUGAAAGCCCCCGGCUCAACCGGGGAGGGUCAUUGGAAACUGGGAGACUUGAGUGCAGAAGAGGAGAGUGGAAUUCCAUGUGUAGCGGUGAAAUGCGUAGAUAUAUGGAGGAACACCAGUGGCGAAGGCGGCUCUCUGGUCUGUAACUGACGCUGAGGCUCGAAAGCGUGGGGAGCAAACAGGAUUAGAUACCCUGGUAGUCCACGCCGUAAACGAUGAGUGCUAAGUGUUGGAGGGUUUCCGCCCUUCAGUGCUGCAGCUAACGCAUUAAGCACUCCGCCUGGGGAGUACGACCGCAAGGUUGAAACUCAAAGGAAUUGACGGGGGCCCGCACAAGCGGUGGAGCAUGUGGUUUAAUUCGAAGCAACGCGAAGAACCUUACCAGGUCUUGACAUCCUUUGACC
rnacentral:rRNA from 1 species